AGUAAAGUGGCGCACGGGUGAGUAACGCGUAGGUAAUCUACCCUAGUGUACGGGACAACAUCGGGAAACUGGUGCUAAUACCGAAUACGCUUCUUUAAAUGCGAAUUUUUAGAAGGAAAGGUGGCCUCUUCAUGAAAGCUACUGCACAAGGAUGAGCCUGCGUACCAUUAGCUAGUUGGUGGGGUAAUGGCCUACCAAGGCUUCGAUGGUUAGCGGGUCUGAGAGGAUGAUCCGCCACACUGGCACUGGAACACGGGCCAGACUCCUACGGGAGGCAGCAGUGAGGAAUUUUGCACAAUGGGGGAAACCCUGAUGCAGCGACGCCGCGUGAGUGAUGAAGGCCCUCGGGUCGUAAAGCUCUGUCAAUAGGGAAGAAAUGCGAUGUGGUUAAUACCCAUGUUGUUUGACGGUACCUGUAAAGGAAGCACCGGCUAAAUCCGUGCCAGCAGCCGCGGUAAUACGGAUGGUGCGAGCGUUGUUCGGAAUUACUGGGCGUAAAGGGCGCG
rnacentral:rRNA from 1 species